AUCAUAAUGCUUCAUCAAAAGUCGAUUUAGGUUAGCCCAGAUUGAUAUUUAGAUGAGCUAAAUUGAAUUAGAUCGAUAUUCAAUCGAUCUGAUCCAAAAGUAAAUUUUGAUCAAAAUAAUUCUCAGAUGAUUUUCUCUAAUAUUGCCACGUGCCAGAGCUGGCUUUAUGAUGAUCUCAGCCUUCAGAUAAGAUCGAAUUUAUGAUGAUUUCAGUCUUCUGAUGAGGUCGGCUUUAUGAUGAUGUCAACCUUCCGAUGAGGGCGGCUUUAUGAUGAUUUUCAUAGUCGAGCUUCACAUCGAUAUUCUUAUCAAUCCGAGAACUCCUUCGAGUCCUGAGGACAUCCGCUGAGAUGGUAUAACUCCUAUAGUAGAUACAUUUAAUACCAUUCAAUCAUUCUCCAAUGGUUCUGAAUGGCUAGUAAUAGUUCUCCAAUAUUCAUUGAAGCUAUAAAGGCUUUUAUAAUGAGGAAAAAUACAUCAAGAAUAAAAAAAAAUUAUUCUCCAAAAAGAUUGAAGUAUCU
rnacentral:lncRNA from 1 species